GACGAACGCUGGCGGCGUGCCUAAUACAUGCAAGUCGAACGCUUCUUUCCUCCCGAGUGCUUGCACUCAAUUGGAAAGAGGAGUGGCGGACGGGUGAGUAACACGUGGGUAACCUACCCAUCAGAGGGGGAUAACACUUGGAAACAGGUGCUAAUACCGCAUAACAGUUUAUGCCGCAUGGCAUAAGAGUGAAAGGCGCUUUCGGGUGUCGCUGAUGGAUGGACCCGCGGUGCAUUAGCUAGUUGGUGAGGUAACGGCUCACCAAGGCCACGAUGCAUAGCCGACCUGAGAGAGUGAUCGGCCACACUGGGACUGAGACACGGCCCAGACUCCUACGGGAGGCAGCAGUAGGGAAUCUUCGGCAAUGGACGAAAGUCUGACCGAGCAACGCCGCGUGAGUGAAGAAGGUUUUCGGAUCGUAAAACUCUGUUGUUAGAGAAGAACAAGGACGUUAGUAACUGAACGUCCCCUGACGGUAUCUAACCAGAAAGCCACGGCUAACUACGUG
rnacentral:rRNA from 1 species